rnacentral:rRNA from 1 species
GGGUUGUGAGGUUAAGCGACUAAGCGUACACGGUGGAUGCCCUGGCAGUCAGAGGCGAUGAAGGACGUGCUAAUCUGCGAUAAGCGUCGGUGAGGUGAUAUGAACCGUUAUAACCGGCGAUUUCCGAAUGGGGAAACCCAGUGUGUUUCGACACACUAUCAUUAACUGAAUCCAUAGGUUAAUGAGGCGAACCGGGGGAACUGAAACAUCUAAGUACCCCGAGGAAAAGAAAUCAACCGAGAUUCCCCCAGUAGCGGCGAGCGAACGGGGAGGAGCCCAGAGCCUGAAUCAGUGUGUGUGUUAGUGGAAGCGUCUGGAAAG